GACGGAGGGUGCUAGCGUUGUUCGGAAUCACUGGGCGUAAAGGGCGCGUAGGCGGCCCAUGCCGUCGGGGGUGAAAACCCUGGGCUUAACUCAGGAACUGCGUUUGAAACUGGAGGGCUUGAGGACCGGAGAGGGCAGUGGAAUUCCCAGUGUAGCGGUGAAAUGCGUAGAUAUCGGAAGGAACACCAGUGGCGAAGGCGGCCAUCUGGGCCAACACUGACGCUGAGGAACGAAAGCGUGGGUAGCGAACAGG
rnacentral:rRNA from 1 species